UUUUUUUUUUUUUUUUUUUUUUUUUUUGCGCUAACAGAAUAAUUUUGGUCCAGCAGCCUUUUCAUUCCUCUGCCCCUUCACUGACAGCACGGGGUGUGAAAGAACAGACUGAGUGAGUAGGCUGGAAGGGAUUUCCUACAAAUUUAACUUGCAGGAUCUGACAAGCACGUCUGCAAGAGCAUCAGCUGCGUAGCAGGAAGGAAGCCAAAGUUUGCUACAUCCUUCUUUCCUGGAUGUGAGGGGAGAAAGGCACCUCAUACAGACUAGACACAUGAUACACAGGGUUAACCGUAUCUGUAAGCAAACUCGGAAACAAACAAACAUCUGUGCCAAUGAUCUCAGUUCACUAGGGUUAACUCCAGUUUUUAGCGGUUUCUCACAAGGAAGACGGAUUUUCUGCAGGGCAGUGGUCUCUGUGGACAGCUACCAAUAGGAGAUUAAUGCAAAUCUCACAGCAGAAGCCCUAAAGGUAAGGACGAUGCUGUAAACUGCACAGUUCUGGUGUUGAGCCGUAUGAGUAUUCAGCCAAGCUGGAGACGGUGAUGGGAAUGUGCAUUUUGCUCCCCCCAAGGCAGACCCAGGGAGGGACUGAUGAUUUAUUUGGCCUGAUCAAAAAGGCAGAAAGCCAUUUCAGACAGGGAUAAGCAAAUUAAAAGAAAAUUCUGGUUGAGAGGCGCCCGGGAUGAUUGCAUGUCUCUCCUUCCAGACGCUGUGGGAACAGUCACAAACUUAAUGGAAUUAUGAACACGGCACCCGAAUCAGCUUGAACAUGAAUUAAAUGGAUAACAAGUAUCUGAGAAAAUUAAAUUCCACAGGCACCUGCACACACAGUGUUGCCAGAAGCAUCUCGUUUGGAAGGCUGGAGUGUUUUGCAAAACACAUCUAAGAAACAAAGGAGAAACCCUGUUCCAUCUCCGAUCCAAAGGCUUUUCUUUCCUGCAAAGAUUACAUUGACAGGUUCUGGGGUGCUUUUGUUCAAUACCACAGGGACUUGGGGACUCAUGUAGAAAGAGAGACUUGGAGUUCCCAUUGUGGCUCAGCGGAAAUUAAUUUGACUAGUAUCUAUGAGGUUGCAGGUUCAAUGCCUGGCCUCGCUCAGUGGGUUAAGGAUCCAGCGUUGCCAUGAGCUGUGGUGUAGGUGGCAGACACAGCUCGGAUCUGGCAUUUCUGUGGCUGUGCUGUAGGCUGGUGGUUACAGCUCUGAUUCCUCCCCUAGCCUGGGAACCUCUGUAUGCUGCGGGUGUGGACCUAAAAAGAAAAAAAAAAAAAAGAAAGAAAGGGCAUUCCCAGCCCCUUUGCAGUUCAAAAGCAACCACAGAGUCCCCAGGGUCUGCUCCUAGAACUCUGGAAUCCAGACAAAGAGAAAAUAAUUCUUAAUUAUUAAUUUCAUACUUAUCAGUGAUCAAGGUCUAAUGAUUAAACCUGAACUUUCCAUAAAUAUAUUCAUCCAUUUAGUCCUCAUCUGGGAAUGCCUCUCACACCCAAACUGAAUUCCUCAUACAACCACAUGAGAGAAAGCAUGUUAAGAUCCACGCACCCCUAUGUUCACAGCAGCACUAUUUAUAACAGUUAAGACGUGGAAACAACCUAAAUGUCCAUCAAUAGAUUAAUGGAUAAAGAAGAUAUGGUACAUAUACACAAUGGAAUGCCACUCAGCCAUAAAAAAAGAAUGAAAUAAUGCCCUUCGCAUCAACAUGGAUGGACCUAGAGAUUAUCAUACUAAGUGAAGUAAGUCAGAGAAAGACAAAAAAAAUGUCAUAUGAUAUCACUUACAUGUGGAAUCUUAACAAUGAUACAAAUAAACUUACUUACAAAACAGAAACAGACUCACAGAUGCAAAAAACAAAACUUAUGGUCACCAAAGGGGAUAACUUUGGAUAAGGGGUCACUUACAGUUACCAAAGUUGGGGGGGGGGAAUAAUUUUGGAAUUUGGGAUUAAGAGAUACACAUAUAAAAUAAAAAAGAAGGACCUACCGUAGAGCACAGGGAACCAUAUUCACUAUCUCAUAAUUACAUACAAUGGAAAAUAAUCUGAAAAAUAACUGAGAUAUAUCUAUAUCUGUAUCUAUAACUGAAUCACUUUGCUACACACAUGAAAUAUUACAAAUCAACCAUAAUUUAAGUAAUAAAAAGAAGAAGGUGGCAUGUUACAGGGUCAAACGGGACCCAGGGACACAUUCCUGGGGAAUCUGUGAAUCCUCUGUGGUAACGUCUGAAGCAUUUUUAUGUUUUCGUUUUCAUGAUAAUCUUUAAAAUGUUCAUGAAGGUGCAUCUCAGGGACCACCACUUAAGCAAAAGCUCUGAAGGGCAGCACUUACACCUAAGUUCACGAUCCCAUGGGUUCCAAGCUGUGUUGUUCCUUCCAAAGCUGCUUCAAUAGUUUGCUGAGAGUGGUGGAACCAAAGUAAGCAGGACCCUCAAACUGACCGUGAUUCAGGCAGCGGCCAGUCCAUACCUACAGCGGCUCCCAACUCCCUGGGGGUAAAAGGCCCCCUUUCCUGGCCCUCAGUCUCCCUCUCUGGUCUCAGGGUUCAAUCCCACCCCUCUUCCUUCUGCCACAGUCAUGCCUGACCAUCUCCAUCAGAACCAAGCCCUCCUCCAUGGUAGGGACUUGGCCCGAUUCUUCCCUUUGCCUGCAACAUACUUCCUUCCCAACACCAUGCGGCUUGUUGACCUUCAGACCUUUGCUCAGUGGCCCCUUCUCGGUCCACAUAACACCACAGCCCUCAUUCCUCCAGCUCUUCCCAUCACCCUCCCCUACUCAACAUUUUCUCUUUCUAGAGCACAGAUCUUCCAGUUUUCCUAUAACGUACCUCCAUAUGACGUCUAUUGCUUAUUGUCUGGAAGAGGGGUCAGCAAACUUCAGCCCCCCAGCACACCUGGCCCACUGCUCGUUAUUUUAAAUAAUGUUUUAUGGGAACACAGUCACACCGACGUGCCUACCACCCACAACAUCCGCAGCUGCUCUGAUGCCGGGAAGCCACAGUGGGGUCAUUGUGACAGAAACUGCAAGGCCCACAAAGGUGAGACUGUCCACUCUCUGGCCUUUUAUGGAAAGAGUCUGCCCAUCCCGGGUCUGGAAGAUAAACUCCAUGAGGGAAGCUGAUCGGUUCAUGGAUGUGUCACAAGGUCCUGCCACAGAGUAAGUGCUCAAUAAAUAUCUGUAUUAGAGAUGGGUGGGUGGUGUCUUCAAGAAGCUCUGUUCUUGUGUUUGUGUUGGUCGAUUAAGUAGAGGAAAGGGGAGAAAACUGAGUCACCCAUCGUACGUAGAAAGCAAAAGGCUUGAUGUGGGGCUCAACGUGGUAGCAGUGAGUCCCACUUCAUCUGUAUAAAGAUUAAGAAAACACGGGGCGUUUAAGGGACUCUUCUCCCCCAUUAAAAGGGGUAUGUCCAUCCCUCACAUUUGAGAAAUACGGGGAAAAGGAGUUUGAUCCACGGAGCAAGUCAACCAAGAUUGUUCUUGGUGCCCAUGACACUGACGAGGCAAUACAAACCACCAAUGACCAAGAUUUUCAGGACAGACAGAACUCUCAUUUUUUCCCUGAUUCCUGUAAGUUUCGCUUCUCUCAUAAGGUUCUGCAUCCUAAUGUCUGGUUCACACAUGCUUCCCAGAGUCACCAAAAGAGGGAGAGCCCAGGUUCCAGUCUCAGAACUGGAGGAGAGAUGGGGCUGCUGCUGGGGGAUUUAAACCUCAUCCAGCUAUUGAAUCUAAGAGGAGAACCAGGAAUACGCUUCAAUUCCAUUUCUUCUGAAGUACUGAGGAUUCCUCUUCAAGUCUGACAGAACCAAGGAAUUAUUCUGCAAUGGAACAGCAAGAAAGAACUACGGACAUUGACAAAGCCAGUGAGUUCUUCUCCCGGAGAAGAUGUGGUUCAAAAAUGUGCCCAAAGCUAGACUGUGUGGGUGUCAGAGUUAGGGUGAGCCUUCCUGUCUUCUGUCUCUCAGUCCGUGAUGCUUCUCAAUCUCCCCAUGGAACCACAGGGCCUUAUUCUGUGACCAGUGCCUCCAUCUCAUUUUCCAGCCUCAGGGCUUUAGAGAUGGGAACUGCAAUUUUUCUAACUCCCAGCUCAAGAAUCAGGCUAGUGCCUAUGGAAAACAGCAUGAAGGAUCCCCAGAAAACCAAAGAUAGAAUUACCAUAUGAUCCAGCAAUCCCACUCCUGAGCAUACAUGCAGACAAAACUCUAAUUUGAAAAGAUAUGUGCACCUCUGUGUUAAAAGCAGCACUAUUCACAAUAGCCAAGACAUGGAAGUAACCUAAAUGUCCACUGACAGAUGAAUGGAUAAAGAGAAUGUGGUACAUAUAUACAAUGGAAUAUUACUCAGCCAUGAAAAAGAAUGAAAUAAUGCCAUUUACAGCAACAUGGAUGGGCCUAGAGAUUAUCAUACUAAGUGAAAUAAGUCAGCCAGAGAAAGACAAAUACCAUAUGAUAUCACGUAUACGUGGAAUCUAAUAUAGGACACAAAUGAACCUACCUACAAAAGGGAAACAGACAGAUAGAUAUAGAGAACAGAUGCGUGGAUGCCAAGGGGGCAUGACUUGGGUGAGUGAGGGAGCGGGAGGUUGGGGUUAGCAAAUGUACGCUAUUGUACACAGAGGGGAUAAACAACAAGGUCCUGUAGUUUACAUCAUGGCUCAGUGGUAACAAACCCGACUAGUAUCCAUAAGGCCAUGGGUGCGAUCUCUGGCCCUGCUCAGUGGGUUAAGGAUCCAGCGUUGCUGAGUGCUUCAGUGUGGGUCACAGACAUGGCUCAGAUCUGGCAUUGCUGUGGUUGUGGCAUAGGCUGGCAGCUGUAGCUCCGAUCUGACCUGGGACCUCCAUAUGCCGUGGGUUCGGCCCU
ensembl:lncRNA